GUGAUGAUAAAGUCUUAGAUCAAAAUGGUUAGAACAGUAAUGAAUACCGUGAUUUCAAUCUAGGGCGGACUGAUUCU